CGCGCAGGCGGUUCUUUAAGUCUGAUGUGAAAGCCCCGGGCUCAACCUGGGAAUUGCAUUUAAAACUGUCCAGCUAGAGUCUUGUAGAGGGGGGUAGAAUUCCAGGUGUAGCGGUGAAAUGCGUAGAGAUCUGGAGGAAUACCGGUGGCGGAGGCGGCCCCCUGGACAAAGACUGACGCUCAGGUGCGAAAGCGUGGGGAGCAAACAGGAUUAGAUACCCCCGUA
rnacentral:rRNA from 1 species